rnacentral:tRNA from 1 species
GCCUGGCUCAGUUGGUUAAGCAUCUGACUUUGGCUCAGGUCACGAUCUCACGGUUCGUGGGUUCGAGCCCCACGUCGGGCU